rnacentral:misc_RNA from 1 species
GGCUCAGGUUGUUCCAGCAUGGUUAAACUGCUUACCAAUAAAAGGUGAUUUGGUUGAAGCAAAAAUCGUGCACGACCAGCUUUGUUCUUUGGUGGAGAGGUCGGAUAUGGAGCUUUUGGGCCCAAAUAAUCAAUAUCUUCCCAAAAUAGUUGCAGUAUUUGCCGAGGUUUUAUGUGCGGGAAAGGAUUUAGCAACAGAGCAAACUGCCAGCCGAAUGAUAAAUUUGUUGAGACAAAUGCAACAGAAUUUACCGCCUUCUACUUUGGCCUCUACUUGGUCCUCGUUGCAGCCCCAACAACAACUUGC